rnacentral:lncRNA from 1 species
UAAGCAUGCAUGAUUACAUUAGUGCAGUGGUUCUCAAACCUCUCCUCAGGGACCCCCGGCCAUUCCAUGUAUUUGAUCUAUUCUACAGCUAUUCUGAUUCAACUUGGCAACUAAUCAUCAAGCCCUUCAAUAGGUGAAUCAGGUGAGCUCGUCCAGAGCUACAACAAAAUUGUGAACCAUCCCCCCGAGGAGAGGUUUGAGAACCACUGCAUUACUAUACCGCACAAGUCUGCUCAACCCUUCAGCACUGCAACAACAGACACACACACUCUCUUUCACUCUCUCUCCCCCUGUGGUGGAAAAGUCUGUAGAGGACUCUGGGUUCCUCCCUGAUCGAUACAGUGCAUUUUUCCCAGCAGUGGUCUGGUGUCUUCUUUCAGGUCCUCUUAUCGAUCUGCCAUGAACAGACGCCAACCAGGGUCCUCUUCUGUCUGCAUAAGGGCCGGCAAUGGCAUCAGUCAUGUGACGGGAAGUGUCUUGUCUGGGUGUGUCUCUGUGGCUGCAUUUAAACAGCUCAGCAUCCCGCUCCGCUGCUGUCCCUGCUGCCCCAUCUGAAGAGGCGGAAGGAAGGCGCAACCCGACCAGGCACAUUCACAUCGAAGCAGUACCUUCAACUUGCCCACUGACCAGCUCUUAUUUGCAGUGAAACAUGAGUGAUAAAGAUAAAAACACCGGUAAGAAACUUUUAUGUGCUUUUAUUUGUUUCGUUCUAUCUGCGAAGGUGCCGUGGAUCAAGGCUAUUGCAGUGUGUGUGUGUGUGUGUGUGUGUGUGAGUGAGUGGAUCUAGAAGCGAGGAGCUUCUGUGAGUGGUGUGGACUGCGGUAGUCGAAAUCCUCAACUCCCACUUUUCUGUAUUUUUAGGUCCAUUGCAGUAUGGUGCUUUGCGCGCAGUCUAGACUAUUGUGUAUGCCUUUCCGCGUAAAGAGCCAAGGAAGUUGUGCGUCCUGGGCGGGCAGUGAUUAUACCCCGGACAGUUUCUUGGUGCAGCGCUUUGUUGGGCAAUGAAACCGGGAUGAUUAAGAACAAGCGAGCCGGUGGCCAGACUCACUCGGUAAAUGAUUUACUAUGUGAUGCUAUCGCGCACGAGAUGUGGAGGUUGUGAUGCUGCGCUCUCCGACAAUCAUAACCAAAAAUGUAUAUGUUUAAAAUGUUUAAUCUCUGUCAAAAGUGGAAAUGUUUUCUAUAUUUUUUGUAAAUAUUUUUUGUAAAUGUGGGCAUUUCACGUUACUGUUGUGCAGAAGAUAAAUGCAUUUAUGUCUCCCUUGAGCGCUUCGUCAUGUCAAGAGGAGAGGAAAAGCGCUUGCUGAUCACUUUUUUUCCCCGGCGCGAGAUAAAUGUGCUGUUCCUAGUGUCUCGAGCUCCCUGAUCACAUCAGCAUGCGCAUAGUGGCGGAAUCGUUGUUGCAGGAACAAGUGCCUAG